GAAAGAUGGCUUUGGCUAUCACUCUGGGAUGGACCUGCGGUGCAUUAGCUAGUUGGUAAGGUAACGGCUUACCAAGGCGAUGAUGCAUAGCCGAGUUGAGAGACUGAUCGGCCACAAUGGAACUGAGACACGGUCCAUACUCCUACGGGAGGCAGCAGUAGGGAAUCUUCCACAAUGGGCGCAAGCCUGAUGGAGCAACACCGCGUGAGUGAAGAAGGGUUUCGGCUCGUAAAGCUCUGUUGUUGGAGAAGAACGUGCGUGAGAGUAACUGUUCAUGCAGUGACGGUAUCCAACCAGAAAGUCACGGCUAACUACGUGCCAGCAGCCGCGGUAAUACGUAGGUGGCAAGCGUUAUCCGGAUUUAUUGGGCGUAAAGCGAGCGCAGGCGGUUGCUUAGGUCUGAUGUGAAAGCCUUCGGCUUAACCGAAGAAGUGCAUCGGAAACCGGGCGACUUGAGUGCAGAAGAGGACAGUGGAACUCCAUGUGUAGCGGUGGAAUGCGUAGAUAUAUGGAAGAACACCAGUGGCGAAGGCGGCUGUCUGGUCUGCAACUGACGCUGAGGCUCGAAAGCAUGGGUAGCGAACAGGAUUAGAUACCCUGGUAGUCCAUGCCGUAAACGAUGAGUGCUAGGUGUUGGAGGGUUUCCGCCCUUCA
rnacentral:rRNA from 1 species